GCCUCGGUAGCUCAGCGGUUGGAGCAACGGCCUUGUAAGCCGUAGGUCGCGAGUUCAAAUCUCGCCCGAGGCU
rnacentral:tRNA from 1 species